rnacentral:lncRNA from 1 species
CCCGGACUCCCCCGCGCCCCUCCUCUCACCUUCCUCGACUGGAUCGGGACAGGGCCUCGCCGCCCACCUUGACGGGCGCCUCCCGUCCCUACCACCAGGCUGGCGCCCCUCGCCGAGUCCACCUCGUCGCUGAACCAUGCCGGCAGGGUCCCGCCGGCACGCACCGAACCCGGCCGCGGCCGCUCCCGGCGAGUCGCCCCGCUCCGACGCCCUCCAACGCCGGCGGGCCGCCGGCCACGACCACCACGACCUGUUCCGGCCUCCCCAAGCUCCUCUACUGCUCGAUGUGAGCCCCUCCUCCGUCUCCCGCUCGUCUUGUUAUCGAUCCACUGCCGUAGGAUCCUGCUAGCGCUCGCCACCAGCCUCUUCCUCCCCCUGCACUGCGUCGUCGAUCCGACUGCCGCGCCGACCACAUCCGCCCCCCUGGCCACUCGUCACCGUCGUGCGUGCGCGCACAUCUGUGCUCGGUUGCGCCCCGGCUCGCCGGCGCGCGCCCACGCUCCACCGCAUGCCCCUGCUCUCCUCCACUCCGCCCCAGGUGCCGCUUGCCGGCCCUGGCCGAGGCCCGCCAGCUAUGCGGGCGUGCCCAGCCGAGGCCACGGCCUCGCCCUUGAUGGGUGCCCGCACCCAGCGCCCGCCCGAUAGUGCCCGAACCCGCUAGGCCCCCAGGGCCCUAUGACAAAGGGGGCCCACUCAGAACGUUUUUAGAAAAAAUAAUAAAAUUAAUAAUAAUAAUAAUAAAUUUAAUUAAUUAAUUAACUAAAAUAAUUAAGUUAAUUAAUCCUAGAUAAUUAAUCUAAUUAACUAGUUAGUUUAAUUAAACAGUAAUUAGAUUAGUUAAACCCUAAUUAGACUAAACAGUCAAUGACGAAUGGGACCCACACGUCAGUUUAACCCGUCAACACCUCUGUUGACUACUGAUGCCAUGCUGACAUCAUGCUGAUGCAGUAAUGCUAAUUUCGAAUUAAUUUAGUAAUAAUAAUUUAGAAAAUGAUUUAAAACUUUAAAAAUUAAUAUAAAAUAAUCCGUAACUCGGAUGAAAAUACUUUGUACACGAAAGUUGCUCAGAACGGCGAGACGAAUCCGGAUACGCGGCCCGUUCGUCCGCCACACAUCCCUAGCAUAGUGAACCUGCAACAUUUCACCUCCGGUUCAUCUGUCCGAAAACGCGAAACGCCGGGGAUACUUUCCCGGAUGUUUCCCCCUUCACCGGUAUCACCUACUACCGCGUUAGGGCACACCGAACACCGUGUAUUGUCUUGUUACGCUUUGUCAUAUUUUGAGUGCUCUGUUAUUUAUUGUGUUCCCUCUCCGUUACUUCUUUUCGAUAGACCCCGAUACUGCCGGCGACCCCCAGUUCGACUACGGAGUUGACGACCCCUCCUUCUUGCCAGAGCAACCAGUCAAGCCCCCCCCCCUUGAUCACCAGAUAUCGCCUAUUCUUUUCUAUACUGCUUGCAUUAGAGUAGUGUAGCAUGUUACUGUUCGGUUACUCCUAUUAUGUUGCAUAGCCUGUCAUUGUUGCUACAGUCAUUGAUGCCUUACCCGCAAUCCUAAAUGCCUAGUAUAGGAUGCUAGUUUAUCAUCAUUGGCCGUACAGUCUUGCCAGUCUGCCUUGCUAUACUAUUGGGCCGUGCUCACUUGGGAGGUGAUCACGGGUAUAUACUUUACAUAUAUACAUACUACAAAUGGUGACUAAAGUCGGGUUAGCUCGUUGAGUACCCGUAAGUGAUUCCGAUGUGGGGGCUGGAAGGACAGGUGGCUCCAUCUCGGUAGAGGUGGGCCUGGGUUCCCGACGGCCCCCGACUGUUACUUUGUGGCGGAGCGACAGGGCAGGUUGAGACCACCUAGGCGAGAGGUGGGCCUGGCCCUGGUCGGCGUCCGCGGUUAUUUCAUAAUAACACGCUUAACGAGAUCUUGGUAUUUGAUCUGAGUCUGGCCACUGGCCUAUACGCACUAACCAACUACGCGGGAACAGUUAUGGGCACUCGACGUCGUGGUAUCAGCCGAAGCCUUCUUGACGUCAGCGACGGAGCGGCGUGCGUCUGAUUGCACUAGAACGCCUACUCUUGUAUAAGGGAGGCUAGGUCUGCUUCCGGCCGCCCUCGCAACAUACAAGUGUGCAAUGGGCGAUGGGCCCAGACCCCUGCGUGCAUAGGAUUUAGACCGGCGUGUUGACCUCUCUGUUGUGCCUAGGUGGGGCUGCGACGUGUUGAUCUUCCGAGGUUGGGCAUGACCCAGGAAAGUGUCUCCGGCCAAAUGGGAUCGAGCGUGUUGGGUUAUGUGGUGCACCCCUGCAGGGAAGUUUAUCUAUUCGAAUAGCCGUGUCCCUCGGUAAAAGGACGACCCGGCGUUGUACCUUGACCUUAUGACAACUAGAAGCGGAUACUUAAUAAAACACACCCUUCCAAGUUCCACAGACAACCCGGUGAUCGCUUUUCCACAGUGCGACGAGGGGAGGAUCGCCGGGUAGGAUUAUGCUAUGCGAUGCUACUUGGAGGACUUCAAUCUAAUCUCUUCUACAUGCUGCAAGACGGAGGCUGCCAGAAGCGUAGUCUUCGACAAGAUUAGCUAUCCCCCUCUUAUUCUGGCAUUCUGCAGUUCAGUCCACCGAUAUGGCCCUUUACACAUAUACCCUUGCAUAUGUAGUGUAGCUCCUUGCUUGCGAGUACUUUGGAUGAGUACUCACGGUUGCUUUUCUCCCUCUUUCCCCCCCUUUCCCUUCUACCUGCUUCUCGCAACCAGAUGCUGGAGCCAGAUGCCACCGUCGACGACGACUCCUACUACACCGGAG